ACAACCAGUAUGGUGUUGUUUUUCCUUCAUCAAACAACAUGAGAGCUUGUUGGGAAAUUUGCUUAAUAAUAAUUUUAGGGGCAGUAGUACACUGCACAGUAUAUCAUAUUUCACGUACAAAAAAAAACUGGGUCGGUGCUAUCGAAUACUGCAAAUGCUACGGGAUGCAUCUGGCGGUGGUUGACACGGCGGCGAAG